UAUGGCCACAUCAUGUUGAAACACUGGUUCUUGUACAAUCACCAAAGUUAAGCAACAUUGAACCUGGUCAGUACCUAGAUGGAUGACCACUUGGAAAUAUCGGGUGCUGUAA